GCGUGAGUGACGGUAAUGGGUAAAGAAGCACNNGCUAACUACGUGCCAGCAGCCGCGGUGAUACGUAGGGUGCGAGCGUUGUCCGGAUUUAUUGGGCGUAAAGGGCUCGUAGGUGGUUGAUCGCGUCGGAAGUGUAAUCUUGGGGCUUANCCCUGAGCGUGCUUUCGAUACGGGUUGACUUGAGGAAGGUAGGGGAGAAUGGAAUUCCUGGUGGAGCGGUGGAAUGCGCAGAUAUCAGGAGGAACACCAGUGGCGAAGGCGGUUCUCUGGGCCUUUCCUGACGCUGAGGAGCGAAAGCGUGGGGAGCGAACAGGCUUAGAUACCCUGGUAGUCCACGCUGUAAACGGUGGGUACUAGGUGUGGGGUCCAUUCCACGGGUUCCGUGCCGUAGCUAACGCUUUAAGUACCCCGCCUGGGGAGUACGGCCGCAAGGCUAAAACUCAAAGGAAUUGACGGGGCCCCGCACAAGCGGCGGAGCAUGCGGAUUAAUUCGAUGCAACGCGUAGAACCUUACCUGGGUUUGACAUGGAUCGGGAGUGCUCAGAGAUGGGUGUGCCUCUUUUGGGGUCGGUUCACAGGUGGUGCAUGGCUGUCGUCAGCUCGUGUCGUGAGAUGUUGGGUUAAGUCCCGCAACGAGCGCAACCCUUGUUCACUGUUGCCAGCACGUUAUGGUGGGGACUCAGUGGAGACCGCCGGGGUCAACUCGGAGGAAGGUGGGGAUGACGUCAAGUCAUCAUGCCCCUUAUGUCCAGGGCUUCACGCAUGCUACAAUGGCUGGUACAGAGAGUGGCGAGCCUGUGAGGGUGAGCGAAUCUCGGAAAGCCGGUCUCAGUUCGGAUUGGGGUCUGCAACUCGACCUCAUGAAGUCGGAGUCGCUAGUAAUCGCAGAUCAGCAACGCUGCGGUGAAUACGUUC
rnacentral:rRNA from 1 species